GAUGAACGCUAGCGGGAGGCCUAACACAUGCAAGCCGAGCGGGAUUUGAGACUAGCUUGCUAGUCUUAAUGAGAGCGGCGUACGGGUGCGGAACACGUGUGCAACCUGCCUUUAUCUGGGAGAUAGCCUUUCGAAAGGAAGAUUAAUAUCCCAUAAUAUAAUGAUUGGCAUCAAUUAUUAUUGAAAGCUCCGGCGGAUAGAGAUGGGCACGCGCAAGAUUAGAUAGUUGGUGAGGUAACGGCUCACCAAGUCGAUGAUCUUUAGGGGGCCUGACAGGGUGUGCCCCCACAGUGGUACUGGGGAACGGGCCAGACUCCUACGGUAGGCAUCAGUGAGGAAUAUUGGACAAUGGGUGAAAGCCUGAUCCAGCCAUCCCGCGUGAAGGAUUAAGGACCUAUGGUUUGUAAACUUCUUUUCUACAGGGAUAAACCUACUCUCGUGAGAGUAGCUGAAGGUACUGUAGGAAUAAGCACCGGCUAACUCCGUGCCAGCCGCCGCUGUAAGAC
rnacentral:rRNA from 1 species